rnacentral:rRNA from 1 species
GAAUGCUGACAUAAGUAACGAUAAAGCGGGUGAAAAGCCCGCUCGCCGGAAGACCAAGGGUUCCUGUCCAACGUUAAUCGGGGCAGGGUGAGUCGACCCCUAAGGCGAGGCCGAAAGGCGUAGUCGAUGGGAAACGGGUUAAUAUUCCCGUACUUGGUGUUACUGCGAAGGGGGGACGGAGAAGGCUAUGUUGGCCGGGCGACGGUUGUCCCGGUUUAAGCGUGUAGGUGUGUGUUCCAGGU